UAGCAGCUCACUCUUCAGUGCUUUAAGCAAAUGAUCCUCAGGAAAGAAAAGGUAUUUGCUUAUUGCAGGUGCAAAGAGGCUCAGAUUGGAACUUUUCCCUGAAACUAUAUUGUAGCCCAGAGUUCCUGAUGUAAGACGCUUUAUUUAAAGACAUCCGUGAGCUUUUUCACUGGCAUAUCAAUACUUCAUAACACUAGGAAGGUUGAAGAUUAUUCUCUCUUCUAAAGAAAAUAGAAGAAUAUUAGGAGAAAAGACACUUGAAAAUGUUCACUCUUUUAUUCACAUUACAUCAUCUGUCUUGAAUAAUGGGUCUAUCUCUUUCCUGUUGCUCUGGCCCUGAAAAAAAAAUUAGCUUUUUAAGGCUGCUUUUGUUACGUGUGCAUUUUCUUGUAAUCCCGUCAUUCUGGGAUUUAAUAAUAAUAGUAUUAAUACCACCUACCAUUUGUUGGUUACUUACUGUGUUUUAGGCACUGUGCUAAACGCCUUCCAUGUAUUCAUCUCAUUAGUAAACAUUUCUGAAACUAUUCUUAC
rnacentral:lncRNA from 10 species